rnacentral:rRNA from 1 species
UAGGAUAGAGGCCUACCAUGGUGGUAACGGGUAACGGGGUGUUAGGGCACGACACCGGAGAGGGGGCCUGAGAAACGGCUACCACAUCCAAGGAUGGCAGCAGGCGCGCAAAUUACCCAAUCCCGACACGGGGAGGUAGUGACAAUAAAUAACAAUACGGGAUUCUUUCGGAUCUCGUAAUUGGAAUGAGUACAAUUUAAAUCUCUUAACGAGGAACAAUUGGAGGGCAAGUCUGGUGCCAGCAGCCGCGGCAAUUCCAGCUCCAAUAGCGUAUAUUAAAGUUGUUGCAGUUAAAAAGCUCGUAGUUGAAUUUCGGGGUUAGUAGGUUGGUCAUGCCUCUGGUAUGUACUGGUCUCACUGAUUCCUCCUUCCUUAUGAACCGUAAUGCCAUUAAUUUGGUGUUGCGGGGAAUUUGGACUGUUACUUUGAAAAAAUUAGAGUGUUUAAAGCAAGCUAACGCUUGAAUACAUUAGCAUGGAAUAAUGAAAUAGGACGUUCGAUCUUAUUUUGUUGGCUUCUAGGAUUGACGUAAUGAUUAAUAGGGAUAGUUGGGGGCAUUAGUAUUCAAUUGUCAGAGGUGAAAUUCUUGGAUUUAUUGAAGACUAACUACUGCGAAAGCAUUUGCCAAGGAUGUUUUCAUUAAUCAAGAACGAAAGUUAGGGGAUCGAAGACGAUCAGAUACCGUCGUAGUCUUAACCAUAAACUAUGCCGACUAGG